GUCCACAUAAGAGCACCGGCUAACUCCGUGCCGCAGCCGCGGUAAUACGGAGGGUGCGAGCGUUAAUCGGAAUUACUGGGCGUAAAGGGUGCGUAGGUGGUUUGAUAAGUUAUCUGUGAAAUUCCUGGGCUUAACCUGGGACGGUCAGAUAAGACUGUUGGACUCGAGUAUGGGAGAGGGUAGUG
rnacentral:rRNA from 1 species